rnacentral:rRNA from 1 species
GACGAACCGAGCGAACGUUAUUCGGAAUCACUGGGCUUAAAGGGCGCGUAGGCGGGCCAUCAAGUCAGGGGUGAAAGCCCCCAGCUCAACUGGGGAAGUGCCUUUGAUACUGAUGGCCUCGAGGGAGGUAGGGGCGUGCGGAACUCCCGGUGGAGCGGUGAAAUGCGUAGAUAUCGGAAGGAACACCGGUGGCGAAAGCGGCGCGCUGGACCUCUUCUGUCGCUGAGGCGCGAAAGCCAGGGGAGCAUACGGG